UGCGCCCACCCUGUCCUAUCCUCUUGUACAGAAACAGCUAAUGGCCUGGAGUGCUGGAAACCUACAAACUAUUGUCGCCUAUUUCCCAGAACUGUGGGCCUGAUGCUCAGUAUCACCGGUGGAAAUCAAAUAGUAGCCAGAAGGCAAGGAGUCCCUGGCAAAUCCGUGUGCCGAUUGGGGUGAACCCAUUGGAAGUCUGUGCGGUUCCUCCGCCCUCCCGGCUGCGUGUCCGGAACGUUCCGGGCUGUCAGGUGGGUGGCGGCGAGCCUGGGCGGGCAAGCCUGCGGGGCAGCGCGGCGCGCUCGCGGGGUGGAGAGGGAAAGCCCCGCGGAGUGCGGCGCGUCCCACGGCCGGCCGCCGCUCACCUUUGUUGGCCUGUCCUCGCUGCCAGAGAUCGGGCCAAGGAGGAGUGCGGGGAGCGACCCCACAGCUCGCGGCCCCUCUCCGGCGCCCGGAGGAACCCGUAGGCAAGCCAGGGACCCUCUCCGGAUCCCGGAACGGCAGCCGGACCGAGGGAUCAGCAACCCCUUCCUGAACACAAAGGACCUCUCUGCUGUCCAGCAGGUCCUGCUGUGUCUUCCAAGCACAUGCAACAGGAAGUGUUGAGUUUCUCCCUGACUGUGAGUCCUGCUGGCCCAGGAGACUUCAGGCCCAUCACCAGAGGCAAGGCAGCCAUCUUCCAUAGACAUGUUCAUGAGCAUCUACAUUG